UAUCUCAAUGAGUUGGGGUUCGAGGCUUU
rnacentral:piRNA from 1 species